CCAUAAAAGAGCUCAUAACCAGAACUCCCACUAGCUAUCUCAGGAGCAUGCUUCGUCAAUGUAUUUCAGGGAUGUUGUUUCUUUUGUGGUUUUCUUCCCAAAAAGACUAGACUUGCUUGAGGUGACCAGAAGGAGUAGGCACAGGGUGGAGGCACCCUGGGCUCACGUAAGGGCCAGCCUCCUAGACUGCUUCCUGAGAAGAAGUGCUGUAUGGCCAGUGAUCCCCUUCACUAGGACAUCUCAGCUUCUGUGAUCUCAAGUAGUGAGACUGACAUUCUGCCAGUCCUGUUAUGGUAGAGGCUGUUCUACAGUGUACCCCGUCGUGAGAAAAAUAAUGUUUAUCUUGCAUCCAACACUGCUACCUCAGCUAAGGAAGUAAAGUGAGAUUACAGGAUCUGCUUUAUGGGUAUAACUGAAAAUAAAUUCCCUUGAAGCUGAAGAUGGCAAAGAUUUAAGGAGACGGAUUGCCUGACAGCUGAGAAAAGCAACAACUUUUUGAGAUUAUGAG
ensembl:lncRNA